GAUGAACGCUGGCGGUGUGCCUAAUACAUGCAAGUCGAGCGAAUGGAUUAAGAGCUUGCUCUUAUGAAGUUAGCGGCGGACGGGUGAGUAACACGUGGGUAACCUGCCCAUAAGACUGGGAUAACUCCGGGAAACCGGGGCUAAUACCGGAUAACAUUUUGAACCGCAUGGUUCGAAAUUGAAAGGCGGCUUCGGCUGUCACUUAUGGAUGGACCCGCGUCGCAUUAGCUAGUUGGUGAGGUAACGGCUCACCAAGGCAACGAUGCGUAGCCGACCUGAGAGGGUGAUCGGGCACACUGGGACUGAGACACGGCCCAGACUCCUACGGGAGGCAGCAGUAGGGAAUCGUCCGCAAUGGACGAAAGUCUGACGGAGCAACGCCGCGUGAGUGAUGAAGGCUUUCGGGUCGUAAAACUCUGUUGUUAGGGAAGAACAAGUGCUAGUUGAAUAAGCUGGCACCUUGACGGUACCUAACCAGAAAGCCACGGCUAACUACGUGCCAGCAGCCGCGGUAA
rnacentral:rRNA from 1 species